CUUGCGCUUCCUAGGUAAGCACUCUACCACUGAGCUAAAUCCCCAGCCCCACAUGAACAGUUUUUAACUAGGAAGUUUUAACUUCAAAACAACAACAACAGCAACAACAACACAGCACCCAGAUUUCGGGCUGGUGGGAUCGCUCAGUGGGUCAAGGCCUUCCCACCAAACAGCUAAGUUUGAUUUCCAGGACCCACGUUGUAACUCUUUAUAACUCAGGUUCCAUUUGCUUGCUUGCUUGCUUGUUUGCUUGUCAUGGGGACUGAACCCAUUAUAUUGAACUCAGUAGACAAGGACUCUGCUAUUGAGCUACAUCGGAAUUCCCAACAUUUGUUAGUGUUUCGCAUUCUUAGGUCUUUUCCAGAAGUGGAGUCUGCACCAAGACAUCAGUGUCAAGGCGUUUGUUUAUUUGGAGGUAAAUCCUAGGAAUCUGCAGUAAGGGUGUGGGAAAUAAGACUGGCAGGGAAAGGAGGAAGUUGAUACAGGUUGUAAGAGUUACCAAGAGGUUGCCAUCUUGUAACUUAAAUCUGGGAACUCUGGGAUGUGUAGAUUAUGCUGCUCAAUGUUAUCUCAUCCAAGAGACAAAGGCACGCGAGUAUCCAUCAGACUCACCAGUCACUGAUGGGUGGUCAUUCCUGUAUAAGAGAGAAAGGAGACCAUUUAACCUGUUGUGCAGAAGUAGAGUGGUCUCUGGAGCCCAGAGAAAGCUGGAACAAUAAUGAAGACCCAGGCAUAGUAGUGUGUACUUCUGUCAGCACUUAGGAAGCUGAGGCAGGAGGAUUGCAUGAUUAAGUCUACCCUGGGCAACCUAGCAAAACCUUAUGACAAAACCAAACCAAGCCAAACCAAACCAAGCCAAGCCAAACCAAACCAACAACAACACAGUAAAAAAAUGGUCAGGGAUAUUAGCUCAAAGUUAGAGAAUUUGCCUGGUCUCUGUGAGACCCUGGGUUCAAUUCCACUUGGCAAUAGAUAAGAGUUGAGUAGAAGUUGCCUCGUGACACAAGUCGCCCUCCCUUUUGCCCUGCUCUUCUGCACUUCCCUCCUGGCAUUGUCUGGUUCAGCACUGUGGAUCUGGCAGGUGCGACCACUGGCCCUCAUAUACGCUUGGGUACUUUAUAAGACACAUGGGUCCUGCUUUCAAAUAUUUUGUUUUUCAUUCUGCAUCUCGAAGGAUAACUAGUCCUAUUAUUCCAAGUAGGACUCAUUGAUCCUCCCACUUCUCUGGUCCUGUACUGAGUCCUUGGAGCCUCAGCUUGCGCUCCCACCGUGCUGUUACGUGAAACUCAGGUUGUGUCAUUUAGGCUACAGAAUCAUUCCCAAAGUAUAAAGAGAAAUAAGUUUUCUCUUUUAUUUCUGCAGGGACUCAUGUAGCCCAGGUUUGCCUGACACUCUAUCCUCCUAGCUCAGCCUCCCUCGUGUAAGGAUUAUAGGUAAAUACUACCAUGGCCAAGUAUGCUAAACUCUCAAAAAUAAUUCUGGAAAGAAAAAAAAAGGAAUACUUUUCUAAUUUUUUGUUAUUAGUUUUUGUUUUGCUUUGCUUUUUGAGUCAAGGUCCCCUGUUUGAAAUCUUUCUGUGGCCAAAGAUGACCUUGAACUCCCGAUUUCCCUGUCUCCAUCUUUCUUGUGCAGGGACCGUAGGCAUAUGUCACCCAUAUACGGCUUAAUUUCACAAAGUUUAUCUCAGAUUGGUUUUAAAACUUACCAUCACUCCCACAAAUACAUAUAAACACAGCUGGAAAUCCAUCUUAUUGUCUGUCCGCAGAAGGGAAGCUUCCGGAAGGAUAAAGGACACUCUUCGUUCUUAUCAUUUUGUAAAGCACUUCCACUCUGGUUGGACUGUGACAGUUCCAGAAACUAAAGCAAUUCCCCAAACCUAGCAACAUUCCAGAGAUAACAGAGUGCAUAGUCACUGGAUUGGAGCCUUCCCUGAAGAAGCACAGCUGUUUCUGAGUCACUCCACGGAACUACGCUUUUGCCUCAGGCCUCAGACGGUGCUGCAUCUCGGCUUGAGUUCCUACCCCAGAACAAAGCCUGACCCAACCUCCUGCGUGACUUUGUUGCUGUUCACCCUCAGUUCUCACUCAAAACUUCAGCUCUACUCCCAACCUUGAAUUUGACCACCAUUGCUGGAACUCCCUCCACAGACCAGGCUGGCCCGGAACUCAGAGAUUUGCCUGCCUCUGUCUCUUGCAUAAUGGGAUUAAAAGUGUGCACACCA
rnacentral:sRNA from 1 species